rnacentral:rRNA from 1 species
UGAGGAAUAUUGGUCAAUGGACGGAAGUCUGAACCAGCCAAGUAGCGUGCAGGAUGACGGCCCUAUGGGUUGUAAACUGCUUUUGUAUGGGGAUAAAGUUAGGGACGUGUCCCUAUUUGCAGGUACCAUACGAAUAAGGACCGGCUAAUUCCGUGCCAGCAGCCGCGGUAAUACGGAAGGUCCAGGCGUUAUCCGGAUUUAUUGGGUUUAAAGGGAGCGUAGGCUGGAGAUUAAGUGUGUUGUGAAAUGUAGACGCUCAACGUCUGAAUUGCAGCGCAUACUGGUUUCCUUGAGUACGCACAACGUUGGCGGAAUUCGUCGUGUAGCGGUGAAAUGCUUAGAUAUGACGAAGAACUCCGAUUGCGAAGGCAGCUGACGGGAGCGCAACUGACGCUUAAGCUCGAAGGUGCGGGUAUCAAACAGGAUUAGAUACCCUGGUAGUCCGCACAGUAAACGAUGGAUGCCCGCUGUUGGUACCUGGUAUCAGCGGCUAAGCGAAAGCAUUAAGCAUCCCACCUGGGGAGUACGACCGCAAGGUUG